UACGUAGGGGGCAAGCGUUGUCCGGAUUUAUUGGGCGUAAAGAGCGUGUAGGCGGCCAGGUAGGUCUGCUGUGAAAACUCGAGGCUCAACCUCGAGACGUCGGCGGAAACCAUCUGGCUAGAGUCCGGAAGAGGAGAGUGGAAUUCCUGGUGUAGCGGUGAAAUGCGCAGAUAUCAGGAAGAACACCCGUGGCGAAGGCGGCUCUCUGG
rnacentral:rRNA from 1 species